rnacentral:rRNA from 1 species
AUAUUAAUAAAGGGUGAAAUCAAUUUUUUAAUAUAUAAUGAAAUAAAAACUAAAGUCUUAAUUGAAGCUAUUAAAAUAAAGGUAUGAACCAGGAUUAGAUACCCUGUUACACUUUAUUUGAAUUGUUAAAUACCUGGGUACUAACUAGUUAAUAUCUUUAAACUCAAAGGAUUUGGCGGUAAUUUAGUCUAUUUAGAGGAACCUGUCCUAUAAUCGAUAGUCCACGAAAAAUCUUACUUUAUUUUGUAGUUCAGUUUGUAUACCGUCAUUAUUAGAUAACUUUAAGAAAAUAGUCAGUUAUUAUAAUAGUAUUGCUAAUAUAUUAGAUCAAGGUGCAGCUUAUAAUAGAGAAGAGAUGGGUUACAAUAAUAUAAAUUUAUAAUGGAGUAAUAAGGGAAUAAUUUAUUAUAAAAGUGGAUUUAAAAGUAAAAAAAUUUUAAUAAGAUUUUUUGAGUGUAGCUCUAUAUUAUGUACACAUCGCCCGUCGCUCUCCUUAAUUAAACC